rnacentral:rRNA from 1 species
GAUGAACGCUGGCGGCGUGCCUAAUACAUGCAAGUCGAACGCAUUGUGGUUGAAAUGAUAUGAGGAACUUGUUCAGAUUUGAUUUUCAACAUUGCAAUGAGUGGCGAACGGGUGAGUAACACGUGGGAAACCUACCUCUUAGCAGGGGAUAACAUUUGGAAACAAAUGCUAAUACCGUAUAAUAAUUAAAACCGCAUGGUUUUAGUUUAAAAAGAUGGUCUUGCUAUCACUAAGAGAUGGUCCCGCGGUGUAUUAGUUAGUUGGUGAGGUAAUGGCUCACCAAGACAAUGAUACAUAGCCGAGUUGAGAGACUGACCGGCCACAAUGGGACUGAGACACGGCCCAUACUCCUACGGGAGCAGCAGUAGGGAAUCGUUCCACAAUGGACGAAAGUCUGAUGGAGCAACGCCGCGUGUGUGAUGAA